rnacentral:rRNA from 1 species
UACGUAGGGUGCAAGCGUUAAUCGGAAUUACUGGGCGUAAAGCGUGCGCAGGCGGUUUUGUAAGCCAGAUGUGAAAUCCCCGGGCUUACCACGGUGAAUGGCAUUUGGGACUGCAAGGCUCGAGUGCGGCAGAGGAGACUGGAAUUCCUGGUGUAGCAGUGAAAUGCGUAGAUAUCAGGAGGAAUACCGAUGGCGAAGGCAGGUCUCUGGGCUGACACUGACGCUCAUGCACGAAAGCGUGGGGAGCAAACGAGGAUUAGAGU